rnacentral:rRNA from 1 species
ACACCUGCCUAAAUUCGGAAGAGGCGUUGGUAUAGGGUUCCUACAGACAAACUCCACCUUGUCGUCCGCGCAUAUGUGGAGAUAGAAGAGGUUAAAGAAAGGGCACAGAGUCGGAAGAGGUGUGUUAAAGGAGGGGUAAGAUGUAGCCUGGCACUCCUGUAGAUCGACGCGAGAUGGUAGUGCACAACAGCGACGUCCGAUUCCGGCACACCCAAGUAGCAGCAGCUGGUAGAAGGAUUCUCGAGCCCGUCCUCCUGCACCACUAGGUCUAAAGUGACUAGAGACGAGUGACCGGCCGUCCAAGAUGAAGAUGUCCUGAUGAAUCGUAGCGACGGCACUCCAUGACGUGAGAUCAUCACUAACGUUUACCUAUGGUUUUAGUCAUGAUCUGUGUUCCAACUGGAUCUCGUGUACCACGCCUCGGUUGUAUGGACGGCAAUAGUGAAAAUGUUCUUUAGUGUCUGUCAAAGAGACUACUAGUUGUUUAACCGUCGCCACCCAAACGCCAACAAAUAUUCCCUUGUCACCCUUUCCCUUACCAGCGACACUUCUUCAACAGGUAUUGUGAACUAUACGUACUCUUAUUUAAGGUGUCUCUCCAACUCACGGAUUACUUCCGGUUCGUGUUCUUGUAUCAAGCAAAAAACCCUAUGACAAGACUGUGCGUUCCCUACCACCCCCUGAUACUGCCCUUUAAACAGUACCGCCUACAUGCUUUGACCCACGAUACAAAACUCAUGUAUGGAUUGCCUUCAGAGCUAUUCAUAUAAUGGCUACACAGAACACCUGAAUUUACCUCUCUAGCAAUAGUAUAAUAGUUCCCUUGGACACUCCCGAAUGAAGUAGAAGUACUCUUCGCAUAAGAAGUAAAUCUAGAGUUCGGGCCUUUAUAUAACAAUCGACUAGUGUACCAUGGCUUUUAACGACUAAAACCUGAGAGUUCCACGGAGCUACUUCUGGUUUGGGCUCGAAAAUGAAGUGUAGAUACACCUAGAGUCCCUAUGAAUCGUGGUCUUAAGAUAUCUCCUGUUAAGUGUAAACGCAGUCUGUAUAUAUCAGAACCGUAAUAUUAACACCUCUAUGAUUGUCCUCUCUUCCCCAUAGGUCUUCUCCUCUUACAUCAACGUUUAACCUACUUAGUCAACCUCCGUAGUCUAGUCACCGUAUGUGUCAACCUCGUUCAUUCUCAUACGUGAUUCUAUCCCUAUGUCACGUACCUGAACUUGGGUUUCUUCUCUGGUCAACGUGCAGUAUAUGAACUAUCCGAUCUAUUUUGUUUUUAAUGGUAGCUUUGACCGUAUUCACCAAGUAGUCAACUCGUCGUCCAAUCAAAGGAUUUCCUUGUUAUAACGGUUCUCUUUUUAAGUUUCGCAAGUAUAGUCAUGGAACCUUUCCUUUAGUUCCUUGUGCGACUUUGUCUUCCUGAACGUUUUAUACAUCUCUAUGGAUCUCUUCUAGUAACCGUCGUUCCCGUCGUUCUUCGAAGCUCACUAGUUACCGGUAAUUCCCCUCACGUUCUACAUUUCUUUUUACAUUCGGGUGUUCCACGUUCAUAAAGAUCGAGGUUGUUACCAAACGAGAUAUUCAACUUGUUAAACCUGUAGAAACUGUCUUUUCGUGUGUCCUUAGUGCACGCCAUACCACCCGGAUGUAACCUCUUACAUUUAAAACACUUUGAAAAGUUUUUUUUCCUCGAGCCAGGUUAAAAUUUCUUAUUCUUAGAAUAAUCUUCUCUAUCGAAACCUCAUCAAAUGUACCCGGAACAACUAUCACACGGUCAAUGUUAUUCCUUCGAUAAAUCACCAUCACACCAUGUCUUACUUCUAAAACGUUUACUUCAGUAGUAGGUCAGAGUUCAGUAAGUGCCUUUAUACCAAUCCGAGUAUCCGACAACGGAACUUAAGCUUCAGGGCUACGAUCAGGUACUCAAAGUGAGAUAUCGUUCGGAGGUAAUGUAAGAAGUGUGGUUGUAGUUCCACGGAGAAUUGGAACCGCACGCUAAUUCAUAACGACGUUGUUACCGUCCACGAGAUAGAAUACACGUAAGACGUGAACAAUUCUUUUAUAAUGUGCCAUUACAAUUUGGUAGUUUAUAUGAGAACCUAUUGUUGAAACACGGUUUCUAGAGUCUGUGGCCGUAUAGUUCCAACUAGCACUCUCAGGUACUUGUAUCGCCUUAUAGGUAACCACUGUACCGAAUAUACCUAGGCCAUAUACAUGCUUGUCCGGACGACUGGCUUGUUUCACUACAGAUGUCAAAACCUCAAUAGUAGAACCUCGAACAAUGAUCCUCUUUCCGGUGUGUAUACCUGUUUUUGUCGAAUCAUUAAUUAAAGGAACUCUUGGUGUUCGUCCCCUCCUUUAGCUGGCUCAACAAACUGUUCCUUUAGUGUCACUGUCUUUUAAACUUCGAAGAACUGUGAGACCAUCCUUAACGACGACUUACGGAAUUAAGACUACACCUGGAUUCUGGUUGUUACCAUCUACAGCGUUUAGCAGAUAGGUACGACUUAGCUAGGACAUUAAACUCAACUGUUCAACUACGUAAAUGAUCACCUCAAACUUGUGCAUACUACACAACCUAUUCGCAGACUAUCCGUGUUGAUAAAUGUUUUACACACUACUAGCUUCACACCAACACUUCUUUAGAAACUUCAUGGCGGACAAUUCACACGAUUUCGUGCGGAAGAGUCCGGAGGCCACCGGAUGCGGGAUGCCGGGCUAUAGGUCUCGUUUACAUUUAAACGUAAGUCCAGCGUAGACGACGGAGGGUUCGGUUUGGACUUUCCCCUUAUUUUAAGUCUAAGUGUGUCGACGUGCGGACGUGGAGUAAGUCUGAACCUAUACAGACUACACUAGAUG